rnacentral:tRNA from 1 species
GUUUCUGUAGUGUAGUGGUUAUCACGUUCUCUUACACGCGAAAGGUCCCUGGUUCGAAACCGGGCAGAUGCA